CUUGAGCCCCUUUCCACCUUAUGCACCUGUAUCUGUUCUUUGUUGGCAGAAACUAUAUUUAGGGCAUGCAUGGACUCAUACUUUUGUUUUUUUAAUAAGGGUUUCCUGAUUACAGCAUGUUUAGUCUGCCAGCACCAUGACCUGUUAGUCAGUUCUGGUAUUUCAGUGACACAAUUGAGGCUAAGUAGUCUGACCCAGGCAGAGCGUUAAAAGUGGUGUUUCACCCAGAACAUGAACCAGCACUAAAGUUCUUUAUGGACCUUCUUACUUGAGCAAACAUUUUGGUCAAUGGCUAAAACUCCUGGGGAUUUUUGUCAGAGAAAUGCAGUCUGAGCAGGAAUUCCUGGAGUGUUCGUUGGUAUAAAAAAAAACAAAAAACAAAAAAAAACAACAUAAAACAGACUUCAUCAUUAUUUUACAGAAGCAUUUCCAACACACCAUAGACAGUGUAGUAGCAUUAGUCACAAUUUUUUAUGUGUGGCAGUUAUUGAUUGAUGACACUCACAGAAAACCUAUGCUCAUCACAGCAAACCUAACCACUGUCUGAAGAGUAUGAACUCACUCCUAUAACACACCUCCCCCUCUCUUCUCUCUCUCUCUCUCUCUCUUACUCUCUCAUUUCUUUUUCUGUUUUUCAAAUUGAAAUGUUAUUUAAAAUUUUAAUUGUUUUCCUGGUCUAUUCAGCUCUCCCAACACACCAAGCUGUGUUAUGUGUGUGCACCAUUCAAAAACAUUAGGUCAGGCACUGAAUUGAAUGCUUGACUGAAUUAACUUGUUUUUUUCUCCUUUUUUCUGCUUACCCUAUCACUGCUCUUUUCCUCCGGUCCUGUCUUUCUGCUUUUCUGUCUGUCUGGACAUGUCAGUUGCAUAUGAGGUAAUAUAACUGUCUCCAUUUUCAUCCUCUUUAAACCCUCAUGUUGUCAUGCCCCCACCCUCUCUCUCAUUCUGUUUCUAUCACUCAUUAAUAUAUGUCUCUUACUCUCCUGCUCUCUCAUUCUGCCUCUCUGUCCCUUUCUCUUUUCUGUUGUCACAUCUUUUGUUGUUCCACCUUACAGUAUAGUGUUUUCCUGUGUGUUUGUCUUUAUGGUCCAAUUGAUCACAUUACAGUUACAUCUGAGACACACAUGUACUCUCUCUUUUGCUCUUGCUCUCUCUCUCAAAAGAUUUAUCAGCAUGAAAUCCAAUACAGUAAAAGCUACUUACAAGGCAAUUGUGGCAGUCAACAUCAAAUAUAAGCAGGCACAGCAGUCACAAGCUCCAGAACAGGGUGAAAAGUGAUGCCAUAGAUAUUUACUUCACUGUUUUGUUAAAAAAAACAUAAGAAGAUUGAAGCAAAAGGAUGAAGAAUGAAAGGCAGCAGUGAAAAGCUAUGAUUGUAGCUGUAAUUGCAAACUUGUGCUCACUCCACAGCCACUAUUAAUAGCACUGGACAUACAAGAGGUUAGGGAUGGUAUAAAAGCUGCAACACCAAAGCUGCGUUCCACAAAAGCAGGACAGGAAGAAAAGGGGGCAGCAGCAUGGUAUAAUGGUAUCCUGACAGUUGUAGAUUUGAUUACUAUGUGUGACACUGCCGUUGCACCUUUGAGCAAGGUUCUUAUUUGAAUUUCUCCACUACAUAUCCAACUUUAUAAAUGGAUACUAUGAGCCGGUAUUGAAUUGGUUCAGGUUCCUGAUUGGUGAGAACUGAAAUGCCAAUUAGGUUUCUGGAGGAAUGGCGCUGCUAUCGGUAUUUACAUGUAAUUCAUUAAUUACAUCCACUUUAAUUCAUUCUAACAUAGCUGAAGAUGAUGAAUUUUUUUUUGCUUUGAUUGUAAAAACAAAAAUUUUCAUGAAAACAUUACUGUUUUUGGCUGGACUGCAACAGUGGGGCCAGCCCUACAAACGCGAAUAUCUGUGACUGAGUGAUGAAGUUACACCAUUGGUCGGCCGGAGAGGUCCAGCCGUAUACUAGGUUUUGACCUGGUCUUGUUUAAAAUGAUGGUAGCCUAUAAUAUGUUUCUAUCUGACCAUAAUAAUGACGUUCUAAUAUGCUACUACGUUCAUUGUCUUUUUAUGUUCUGUGCAGUUCCAUCACAGUGGACAGGUUAAAACACUUGAAUGUGCGGGCCACUUUAAGCCCUUAAGUCGCACCGGCCCGUAUUCAAGCUGGAGUGGGUUUAUUUGCAUUCAUUUUUGCAUUUGCGUUUUUUUUAUGGUGAAAUUUUCAAUCAGUCUGGUUACACGAUAUAUGGGUUGAAAGUGUUGAAACUCACGGUUCUAUCUCUGUAAACUAUUUUAUGUUGCCAAUGUUUUAGCGACAAUGGUUCCUCAUUUUGUAACAUAUGUGGUGACAAAACAAGCUUGGGGGUCCGCACCUUCUGUGUGUUUUGGUAAUUCACAGACAACAUGAAUCACUGUAAAAGCAGUGUUUUUAUCACGGCAAGAAUCCAGCGAAUGCAAUCCACAGUAAUUCUUAGUCCAUAAAUGUGCUAAUUUGUAGAAGCAUCAAUAGAUUGUUUCUUGUUUCCUUAGCAAUUCCCCUGAGGAAUUAUCAUUGUUGUCCAUUUCACCAUUAAAACAUGCCAAAACUA